UACGGAGGGGGCUAGCGUUGUUCGGAAUUACUGGGCGUAAAGAGCUCGUAGGCGGUUUGUCGCGUCGGAUGUGAAAGCCCGGGGCUUAACUCCGGGUCUGCAUUCGAUACGGGCUGGCUAGAGUGUGGUAGGGGAGAUCGGAAUUCCUGGUGUAGCGGUGAAAUGCGCAGAUAUCAGGAGGAACACCGGUGGCGAAGGCGGAUCUCUGGGCCAUUACUGACGCUGAGGAGCGAAAGCGUGGGGAGCGAACAGG
rnacentral:rRNA from 1 species